GCAUUUUGAUUCAACGUUUCGACUUUAUUUAGUCAUCAUCAGGAAUCCCGAUGAAUUUAUUUAGUCAUCAUCAGGAUUCCUGAUGAUGACUAAAUAAAGUCGAAACGU
rnacentral:miRNA from 1 species